CCAACGUCAUACUGACGUCAAAUACUGACAUUUAUUCAUCAGGUAUGGCAACCAAAAUCCAAUGUCUGAUAGGGAUCAUAGUGGUAAUGACAACACAACAUCACGCUGGAACAUCAUUAGACGUUAAUAUUUGGUUGAUUUUAGGUUGGCUGUUGGACAUUGACAUCGACCUGACAUUGGAUUCUGAUGUCAACCCGAUUUUAAUUUCCAAACAAAAUGGAGCAUCCCCAUGACGUUAGUAUACAAUGUCAAUCUGACAUCUUGUCGACGUCUUGUGCCUGCUGGGUGUUCAAGGCCAUUUCGCUCAUCAUAAACAUCUGUCAUCUUCUCAUCAGUGACAUGCAUCUAAAUCUUUAGUUGGACUUAGUUGGACAGGAAUCACAGGACUGACUUCUCUAACCCUCAUUGACAGAAGAAAAUAGUGUCUCCAGGUUGAAGGAAAUUUGUGGAGUAAAAGUAUUGAUAUAGCACUAAAAAUGUACUCACGGGAAAGUAAGAGAAGACAUAUUUAAAACUAAUAAAUUGUACAUUUCAGAGAAAAACUACACAAUUACAGUAAUUUGAGUAUUUGUAAUUUGUUACUUUACGUCACUGUGUAUAAAUCCAUCUCUUCUGUCCAUUUUUGAUCACUUAUUUGAUGAGAGAGAUUCUAUGGACCUGUGUAUGUAAGGGCUUUUUCCAAAACCUUUUAAUUGAAUAUUAUAAAAUAGACUUGUGCAAUUCAGCUUAUAACUUUUGAAAAGAAAAAACCCACAUCCUCCUAUGAAUCUUUACUAUGCAUGUGUCAGUCAUCUUUUUGUACCUCCAUAAAAUCAAGUAUAUUUUGACUGUAUGCAUAAAAAUAUCUAUAGACUAAAAUAAUGUCUUUCAUUUAUAGGGAAGAACCUGACAUUUGCUCAGUCACCUGCUCUGUAAUGAGUUAUCUCUCAUUACUAAUCUUCAAAUGACACAUAAUUGUCCCUUUUCUUCACCCUGGAGACCUGGAGAACCCAGCAGAACCCUCAGCAAACAGAAGAUAUAUGAGUGUUAAGCGAGUUAGAGAAAACAUUGGAAGAUGUCCACAAGCAGUCCUUUCCCACAAGGCCACAGCAAGACCAGAAACAACGACUGGAAUGUGGACAUGGUCACUGGAAAUGGAGGUGUGGCGGAACCUCUUGCUCUCUGCUUGAUGUGAAGAUGGUCACGUUGUUUCUGUGAGGACUGGUAGUUCCUCAGACCCUGUACCAGGCCCCUGGCGAUGGUUUUGACACGUGGGGUUAGAAUAGCCUGCGACACAUGAAAGCUGCCGUAUUUGGCUCUUUCACCCAGCGUGGUCUCCAGGAACUGGAUGAGUUUGG